GGUGAACGCUGGCGGCGUGCUUAAGACAUGCAAGUCGAACGGCAGUCUUCGGACUGCAGUGGCGCACGGGUGAGUAACGCGUAACUGACCUACCCCAAAGUCGCGGAUAACGAUUCGAAAGAAUCGCUAAUACGUGAUGUGCUGUCAGAUCCUGUUCUGCCAGUAAAGAUUGAUUGCUUUGGGAUGGGGUUGCGUUCCAUCAGCUGGUUGGUGGGGUAAAGGCCCACCAAGGCGACGACGGAUAGCCGGCCUGAGAGGGAGGCCGGCCACAGGGGCACUGAGACACGGGUCCCACUCCUACGGGAGGCAGCAGUUAGGAAUCUUCCACAAUGGGCGAAAGCCUGAUGGAGCGACGCCGCGUGAGGGAUGAAGGUCUUCGGAUCGUAAACCUCUGAAUCAGGGACGAAAGACACUUCGGUGGGAUGACGGUACCUGAGUAAUAGCACCGGCUAACUCCGUGCCAGCCGCCGCCGUAACAC
rnacentral:rRNA from 1 species